rnacentral:ncRNA from 1 species
GGGUUAGUCGAUCCGAAGAGAUGGAGAAUCCUUGUAUCAAGGGUGCACUCUACAUGAACAUCGAAAGAGAAUUGGGUUAAUAUUUCUGAACCGGGACAUGGUGAUGGACGACAAUGUUAGGAAAUAUGGAGAUGUCACCAGGGGCCUAGGAAGAGUUAUCUUUUCUUUUUAAUGACUUCCCCACCCUGAAAUCAGUUCAACUGUAGAUAGGGUCCAACAUCUGGAAGAGCACCACACGUCUUUCGGUGUUUGGUGCCCCCUCGGUGGCCAUUGAAAAUAUGGAGAACCGAGUACCAUCCAUGCCCAAUCAUACU